ensembl:lncRNA LINC01093 long intergenic non-protein coding RNA 1093
UGGCUAGUGAGCAAUGCAAUUCUGGGAAUGUUCAGGCUCUCUCUGUUCUUUCCUCUCUUGCAAACCAUGGGCACCCUUGGGUCCCUUGGGGUCACUAUGUUACACCUGCUUUUUAUCUGUCUGGGCAAGAGCUGCUCAAGCCACACCUUGUGACACUGAGGAGAUGUGUUUGUUUGAGUAGAUCAGCUAUGAAAAUACCCAGCCGGCCUGCAGCCCUCCCGGCAGAUGCUGAAAAGGAAACCCGACUGGGAGAUGCCGCCCACCCUUAUCCCCAGAGAGCUGCGUUGUUUCCUCUUGCCUUGGCCUUUGGAUCCGGCCAUAGCAAGCAUCCCUGGGCACCUGGCUGAAGCUGGAAACUCGGGAUAAGAAUGGAAGCCCUGGAAGGGAAGAAGAACCGAGGAGUGAGCUUGCCCUGAGGACAGCACAUUGCACUCUCACCUCCUUUGCAGUUAAGUGUGAAAUAGUGCCAAUAGAGUGUAAAAGAAAAGAAAGAAGAUGAUUCACCUCCCAAAGAUUCCCCACUGCUGUGUCCCUUCUAUCAACUUGAUACAAAAAAACACAAUGGCCCCGGGAACCACGUGUUGAAGAUGAGAGAGCUAAAAGAUGGAAAGAGACUGGAGCCCUGAGUCACCACCUGGAGGAAAACUACCCACCCAUCAGGAAUUUCUACUACACAUUUGGGAGUUUUUGGGGUUACAGCAGCUAAUUUAACGAAAACACCCAGAGACAAGAGCUAUUACUGCACAAAUUGGUUAAGUUACCUUUUUGUAUGUUUGGGUCCUCUCUAUUCGAUGAGACUGCGCGUUCCUUUGAAGCAAAUCUGUUUAAAAUUCUUAUAUCCCCAGAGGGCCUAGCAGAGAGUAUGCACAGAGUGAGCCUUCAGUAAAUGCUGAGUAAAUAAGCUCCUAAUGGAUGAAACUGUGUCUUCGAAGUUUGUUCUGACCAGUACUUAGUAUAGGAUUUUGUGCUGUUGGUCACUUUUCAUAAAGGUUCUUGCUAUUAAGGAACUUGACAUCCAAUGUACUCAUAGAAAGUAGAAAUUCAGGGGAAACAAAUAGAAGAGAUAUGUCCAAAAAUCCAUUUAAAAUUUCAUUGACAGAUAUUUAUCUCUUUAAUCCUGGAAGUUGUUUCAUGUAAGGGAAGGUUCAGUAGAAUGAAAACAGGACUGUAAGCUGGGAGGAGAUUUGGGGUCUCUUGGCCAACUCUGCCACAAAUUGUGUUACCUUCAACUUCCCUGCCUGUAAAAUGAAGUCAGUGGUCCCUAAAAUGAAAUUGGACUAAUGGCAAAUUAGCUAGCAUUUGAUUAUACAUCGAUAGUUUCCCCAUGUGAUUUUAACGCACAAAUCAGAUUUUGGAACCAUUAGGUAGGUGAUCUUAUCUUAUGAGUUUAUCUUUUUCAACAUGGAAAAAUAAAUUUGUUUUGCUGACCGAAGGCUGUGUAACUUAGAACUGGAAAGAGACAUGUAAUUGAAUAACCCAUCUCUAUGGGGCAAAAAAAUGAAACACCUUUAGUUUGUUCAAAGAUGAAAUGGAAAAAUAAACAUGUUUUAAGAUGACUUGGUAGAGAAAAUAUUUUCUUUGCCAGGAUAUUAGAGAA